rnacentral:rRNA from 1 species
CAACCUGCCGAUGACUCGGGGAUAGCCUUUCGAAAGAAAGAUUAAUACCCGAUGGCAUAGUUCUUCCGCAUGGUAGAACUAUUAAAGAAUUUCGGUCAUCGAUGGGGAUGCGUUCCAUUAGGUUGUUGGCGGGGUAACGGCCCACCAAGCCUUCGAUGGAUAGGGGUUCUGAGAGGAAGGUCCCCCACAUUGGAACUGAGACACGGUCCAAACUCCUACGGGAGGCAGCUGUGAGGAAUAUUGGUCAAUGGACGAGAGUCUGAACCAGCCAAGUAGCGUGAAGGAUGACUGCCCUAUGGGUUGUAAACUUCUUUUAUACGGGAAUAAAGUGAGGCACGUGUGCCUUUUUGUAUGUACCGUAUGAAUAAGGAUCGGCUAACUCCGUGCCAGCAGCCGCGGUAAUACGGAGGAUCCGAGCGUUAUCCGGAUUUAUUGGGUUUAAAGGGAGCGUAGGCGGACGCUUAAGUCAGUUGUGAAAGUUUGCGGCUCAACCGUAAAAUUGCAGUUGAUACUGGGUGUCUUGAGUACAGUAGAGGCAGGCGGAAUUCGUGGUGUAGCGGUGAAAUGCUUAGAUAUCACGAAGAACUCCGAUUG